GGCAACUCUUCCAUUAUGUGAGA
rnacentral:siRNA from 1 species